rnacentral:lncRNA from 1 species
CCCCCACUCGCGCCUUAGUCCCUGCCCAUAUUGCCCGUCUUCGGUAGGACUGACUCUCUGCCCGGCUUCUGUCUGCUGCCAACCUUGCCCGAAAUCUAGACCCCAGACUUGGGUCUACAUGAAUAACAGCUCACAGUCAACUGCUUGUGUGCUAAAGGUUCACAUAAAAGGAGCACCAAAUCAGCAUAGCUUUGUUCAUCUCACAGUGGUGAUAUCUGAGCUCUUCAUUUACAGGCCAUUUCAUUGUUGCAGGCCCAGAGGCAAUGCCUUACAGGCGUUUUGGAGACAGCGUGCUGUGGCGAAGGGGCUGCUGCCUGGGACCCAGUUUUGGCGCCAUCACCUACUCUGUGUGACCACAGGCGAGUUAUUCCCUCUCAGUUUCUUCAUUUGAAAUUAGGGGCAAUAAUAGCACCUGCAUCAUAGGAUUUGUAUGAGGGUUAAAUUAGUUAGCAUGUAGAAUUGGGGCACUUACCGAAUAAUUAAAUAGGACUGAAAUAAUUAAUCGAUAAACCUUAGUACUUUGUACAUAGAAGAGAGAG